rnacentral:rRNA from 1 species
AAUGCGUUUUGAGAUGGUCCUGCGGCCUAUCAGCUAGUUGGUGGGGUAAUAGCCUACCAAGCCUAUGACGGGUAUCCGGCCUGAAAGGGUGAACGGACACACUGGAACUGAGACACGGUCCAGACUCCUACGGGAGGCAGCAGUGGGGAAUUUUGGACAAUGGGGGAAACCCUGAUCCAGCGACGCCGCGUGGAGGACGAAGGUCUUCGGAUUGUAAACUCCUUUUAGAGGGGAAGAAAAAAAUGACGGUACCCUCAAAAAAAGCCACGGCUAACUACGUGCCAGCAGCCGCGGUAAUACGUAGGUGGCGAGCGUUACUCGGAAUUACUAGGCGUAAAGCGUAUGUAGGCGGUUAGAUAAGUUUUUAGUGAAAUUUCCCUGCUUAACAGGGAAGGGUCUAAGGAUACUGUUUGACUUGAGUGUUGGAGGGGGAGACGGAAUUCCUGGUGUAGCGGUGAAAUGCGUAGAUAUCAGGAGGAACACCGAUGGCGAAAGCAGUCUCCUGGCCAAAUACUGACGCUAAUGUACGAAAGCUAGGGUAGCAAACAGGAUUAGAUACCCUGGUAGUCCUAGCUGUAAACGAUGUUCACUAGAUGUGGGAGGUAUCGACCCCUUCCGCAUCGACGCUAACGCAUUAAGUGAACCGCCUGGGGAGUACGGCCGCAAGGUUGAAACUCAAGGGAAUUGACGGGGGCCCGCACAAGCGGUGGAGUAUGUGGUUUAAUUCGACGCAACGCGAAAGACCUUACCUGGGCUUGAACUGCUAAUGGUAAAAACCGGAAACGGUGAUGACCCGCAAGGGAGUUAGCAGAGGUGCUGCAUGGCUGUCGUCAGCUCGUGUCGUGAGAUGUUGGGUUAAGUCCCGCAACGAGCGCAACCCUUAUCCCAUGUUACCUGUAGCAAUACAGGGUCUCUGAGGAAACUGCCAUUGAUAAAAUGGAGGAAGGUGGGGACGACGUCAAGUCAUCAUGGCCUUUAUGUCCAGGGCUACACACGUACUACAAUGGUCGGUACAGAGGGCAGCGAUAUCGCAAGAUGGAGCAAAAUCCUUAAAGCCGGCCUCAGUUCAGAUUGUGGGCUGCAAUUCGCCCACAUGAAGUAGGAAUC